rnacentral:rRNA from 1 species
AAUAGAUACCCUGGUAGUCCUAGCCCUAAACGAUGUCUACUAGAUCGUGGCGGCACUGACGCCGUCAUGGUCGAAGCAAAAGUGUUAAGUAGACCGCCUGGGAAGUACGGUCGCAAGGCUAAAACUCAAAGAAAGUUGACGGGGGCUCGACACAAGCGGUGGAGCAUGUGGUUCAAUUCGAAGCAACGCGAAGAACCUUACCUGGGCUUGACAUGCUAGGAUUAUCUUCAUGAAAGUGGAGUACGCGGCGCAAGCCGUGGAACUAGUACAGGUGCUGCAUGGCUGUCGUCAGCUCGUGUCGUGAGAUGUCGGGUUAAGUCCCUUAACGAGCGAAACCUUUGCCCUUAGUUGCCAUCGGGUUAUGCCGGGCACUCUAAGGGGACUGCCGGUGUCAAACCGGNGGAAGGUGGAGAUGACGUCAAGUCCUCAUGGCCUUUAUGCCCAGGGCCACACACGUGCUACAAUGGCGUCCACAAAGCGAACCGNGAGCGCAAGCUGGAGGAAAUCGCAGAAAUGACG